GCAGUCAGAGGCGAUGAAGGGCGUGCUAAUCUGCGAUAAGCGCCGGUAAGGUGAUAUGAACCGUUAUAACCGGCGAUACCCGAAUGGGGAAACCCAGUGUGACUCGUCACACUAUCAUUAACUGAAUCCAUAGGUUAAUGAGGCGAACCGGGGGAACUGAAACAUCUAAGUACCCCGAGGAAAAGAAAUCAACCGAGAUUCCCCCAGUAGCGGCGAGCGAACGGGGAGGAGCCCAGAGCCUGAAUCAGCAUGUGUGUUAGUGGAAGCGUCUGGAAAGGCGCGCGAUACAGGGUGACAGCCCCGUACACAAAAGCGCAUGUGCUGUGAGCUCGAUGAGUAGGGCGGGACACGUGGUAUCCUGUCUGAAUAUGGGGGGACCAUCCUCCAAGGCUAAAUACUCCUGACUGACCGAUAGUGAACCAGUACCGUGAGGGAAAGGCGAAAAGAACCCCGGCGAGGGGAGUGAAAAAGAACCUGAAACCGU
rnacentral:rRNA from 2 species